GACGAACGCUGGCGGCGUGCUUAACACAUGCAAGUCGAACGAUGAAGCUGGAGCUUGCUCCGGUGGAUUAGUGGCGAACGGGUGAGUAACACGUGAGCAAUCUGCCCUUGACUCUGGGAUAACUGCGGGAAACUGUAGCUAAUACCGGAUACGAGGCUCGAAGGCAUCUUCGGGUCUGGAAAGAAUUUCGGUCAAGGAUGAGCUCGCGGCCUGUCAGCUUGUUGGUGAGGUAAUGGCUCACCAAGGCGACGACGGGUAGCCGGCCUGAGAGGGUGACCGGCCACAAUGGGACUGAGACACGGCCCAGACUCCUACGGGAGGCAGCAGUGGGGAAUAUUGCACAAUGGGCGAAAGCGUGAUGCAGCAACGCCGCGUGAGGGAUGAAGGCCUUCGGGUUGUAAACCUCUUUUAGCAGGGAAGAAGCGAAAGUGACGGUACCUGCAGAAAAAGCACCGGCUAACUACGUGCCAGCCGCCGCAGUAA
rnacentral:rRNA from 1 species